CCCCGGUAAACGGCGGCCGUAACUAUAACGGUCCUAAGGUAGCGAAAUUCCUUGUCGGGUAAGUUCCGACCUGCACGAAUGGCGUAAUGAUGGCCAGGCUGUCUCCACCCGAGACUCAGUGAAAUUGAACUCGCUGUGAAGAUGCAGUGUACCCGCGGCAAGACGGAAAGACCCCGUGAACCUUUACUAUAGCUUGACACUGAACAUUGAGCCUUGAUGUGUAGGAUAGGUGGGAGGCUUUGAAGUGUGGACGCCAGUCUGCAUGGAGCCGACCUUGAAAUACCACCCUUUAAUGUUUGAUGUUCUAACGUGGACCCGUAAUCCGGGUUGCGGACAGUGUCUGGUGGGUAGUUUGACUGGGGCGGUCUCCUCCUAAAGAGUAACGGAGGAGCACGAAGGUUGGCUAAUCCUGGUCGGACAUCAGGAGGUUAGUGCAAUGGCAUAAGCCAGCUUGACUGCGAGCGUGACGGCGCGAGCAGGUGCGAAAGCAGGUCAUAGUGAUCCGGUGGUUCUGAAUGGAAGGGCCAUCGCUCAACGGAUAAAAGGUACUCCGGGGAUAACAGGCUGAUACCGCCCAAGAGUUCAUAUCGACGGCGGUGUUUGGCACCUCGAUGUCGGCUCAUCACAUCCUGGGGCUGAAGUAGGUCCCAAGGGUAUGGCUGUUCGCCAUUUAAAGUGGUACGCGAGCUGGGUUUAGAACGUCGUGAGACAGUUCGGUCCCUAUCUGCCGUGGGCGCUGGAGAACUGAGGGGGGCUGCUCCUAGUACGAGAGGACCGGAGUGGACGCAUCACUGGUGUUCGGGUUGUCAUGCCAAUGGCACUGCCCGGUAGCUAAAUGCGGA
rnacentral:rRNA from 1 species